GACGAACGCUGGCGGCGUGCCUAAUACAUGCAAGUAGAACGCUGAAGGAGGAGCUUGCUUCGCUGGAUGAGUUGCGAACGGGUGAGUAACACGUAGGUAACCUGCCUGGUAGCGGGGGAUAACGAUUGGAAACGAUAGCUAAUACCGCAUAAGAGUAGAUGUUGCAUGACAUUUGCUUAAAAGGUGCAAUUGCAUCACUACCAGAUGGACCUGCGUUGUAUUAGGUAGUUGGUGGGGUAACGGCUCACCAAGGCGACGAUACAUAGCCGACCUGAGAGGGUGAGCGGCCACACUGGGAAUGAGACGCGGGCCAGACUGCUACGGGAGGCAGCAGUAGCGGAUCUUCGGCAAUGGACGGAAGGCUGACCGAGCAACGCCGCGUGAGUGAAGAAGGUUUUCGGAUCGUAAAGGUCUGUUGUCAGAGAAGAACGAGUGUGAGAGUGGAAAGUUCACACUGUGACGGUAUCUUACAAGAAAGGGACGGCUAACUACGUG
rnacentral:rRNA from 1 species